rnacentral:rRNA from 1 species
GCUAGCUACAGGCUUACACAUGCAAGUCGAGGGGCAGCAUUCCAGUUUGCUUGCAAACUGGAGAUGGCGACCGGCGCACGGGUGAGUAACACGUAUCCAACCUGCCGAUAACUCGGGGAUAGCCUUUCGAAAGAAAGAUUAAUACCCGAUGGCAUAAUAGAACCGCAUGGUUUGAUUAUUAAAGAAUUUCGGUUAUCGAUGGGGAUGCGUUCCAUUAGUUUGUUGGCGGGGUAACGGCCCACCAAGACUACGAUGGAUAGGGGUUCUGAGAGGAAGGUCCCCCACAUUGGAACUGAGACACGGUCCAAACUCCUACGGGAGGCAGCAGUGAGGAAUAUUGGUCAAUGGACGAGAGUCUGAACCAGCCAAGUAGCGUGAAGGAUGACUGCCCUAUGGGUUGUAAACUUCUUUUAUAUGGGAAUAAAGUAUUCCACGUGUGGAAUUUUGUAUGUACCAUAUGAAUAAGGAUCGGCUAACUCCGUGCCAGCAGCCGCGGUAAUACGGAGGAUCCGAGCGUUAUCCGGAUUUAUUGGGUUUAAAGGGAGCGUAGGUGGAUUGUUAAGUCAGUUGUGAAAGUUUGCGGCUCAACCGUAAAAUUGCAGUUGAAACUGGCAGUCUUGAGUACAGUAGAGGUGGGCGGAAUUCGUGGUGUAGCGGUGAAAUGCUUAGAUAUCACGAAGAACUCCGAUUGCGAAGGCAGCUCACUAGACUGCAACUGACACUGAUG